GUCUUUGUCCCAAACAUUAUGGAGGGCACUGUAUCCCUAAUAAUAUUUAAAUGCGUUUAAUUUCAUAUUGUUUGUUCUCUGCAGGUUUCUGCCUCUGCUGCUGACGUUGAGAGGUCCUUAACUUUGCCUGACAGUCCUCGAUUGAUUGUUCUCGAACUCGCCUCCGCAGGCGAGGACCCCGUGGCGACGGAACCUCUCCAAACUUCGCUAUCCCUCACUGACCCCCCUGUGACGACUUCACGGUCGCAGGAGGGCUAUGGAACUGCCAGUCUGCUACGCGGAAGGCUGACUUCAUUUCAGCCUACGCGUCCCUCUUCUCCCUACAUUUCCUUGCCCUCUCUGAGACCUGGAUCACACCAGGCAACACUGCAACCCCUGCAGCCCUCUCCUCCUCCUUCUCCUUCUCUCACGCCCUCCGCCCGUCUGGCCGUGGUGGGGGCACAGGGCCCCUGGGAAGCUUCCUCGAUGAGCUCAACACCCUGCUCAGCUCCUUCCCAGAGAAUGGUGUAGAGGGGAGUCAAACUGGGACCCAGAAAAGGCUGGCAUUUGAACGGGCCUGCAGGCUGGGACUCAUCCUGUACUUCAAAGAACCCAGAGCCGUGUGAUAAAACAAUAAGUUACUUGGACUUCCUCGGGAUAAGCAGGCCAUUUGGCUCUCUGGAAUGUUGCCAUCUGGACACAUCUAAGAUAAGGGGAACUAGUCUCUUUGUCUAUGGUUGUGGGGUAUGUGUGUUCGGGCCAUUAAGGGUAAAAAGAUCAUCAGGCCUCUGGACAAAUGGUGGGGCAACUACGCUUGACAGUUCCACAGUGCCGUUAUGUGGGCCCCUCUAUCAUUACACUUUUUAUUUAUUUUCUGGAUCUGGACUCUAAACCAUCUGUUUAUCAUAUUUACAAACCCCGGAAAACCUUACAAACCAUGCACGUGUUUUCAUUAUAUUACUGUAUUAUGCCUUAUGUAAUAAUAACAUGGAUUGCAUGUAAAAUGCUUCAACAAAAGGGUAUUUUCAUGACAACUGCACCAUAAUAUUACAUCCCCUGGACAUGUUUGGCAUAUUCAGGAAAAUUCCAGAAA